GGGGGGUGCGAGCGUUGUCCGGAAUCACUGGGCGUAAAGGGCGCGUAGGUGGCGUGAUAAGGGUGUGGUGAAAGCCCGGGGCUCAACCCCGGGUCGGCCAUGCCGACUGUCAGGCUAGAGUACUGUAGGGGCAGGCGGAAUUCCGGGUGUAGCGGUGGAAUGCGUAGAGAUCCGGAGGAAGACCGGUGGCGAAGGCGGCCUGCUGGGCAGUUACUGACACUGAGGCGCGACAGCGUGGGGAGCAAACAGGAUUAGAUACCCUGGUAGUCCACGCCGUAAACGAUGGGUACUAGGUGCCUGGGGGAGCGACCCCUUGGGUGCCGGCGCUAACGCAGGAAGUACCCCGCCUGGGGAGUACGGCCGCAAGGCUA
rnacentral:rRNA from 1 species